GGGGUUGUUACGGAUUCGACAGGCAUAGUUUGAGCAGGGAUUGCGCUUCGUAGGUUACGUCUACGUUAAAACGUUACCAGUUAAAUAUAACUGCAAAAACAAACAAUUCUUACGCUUUAGCUGCCUAAAAAACAGUUUGGCGUGAUCGCUCCGGUUUCACCCAUGAGCUCGGAUACGCGGUCUUACUUUAGUGGGAUACGAUUUUAGUUUCCGUCUGCAACUAGGAUAAGAGAACAUCAGACUCAUCCUGUUAUUGAAGUUUGUGUUGCUGCUUUUAACAGGAAAAAUCAAAUGCAACUCUAUGAGCGUAGAGGUCUUUGUGGCAAUGUGUUUGGACAGGGGUUCAAUUCCCCUCAGCUCCAUAA
rnacentral:tmRNA from 1 species